CGCUAAUUCAUACAGGUGACUAGUUACUUGAUCAGUUUCACUACUUUGCUUAUUAGACUAAUUAGAUUCAAGGUGUUUAAGUAGCAUUUUUAUUUACUGGAGAUGGUUGUCUUACUUUCACAAAGAUUAUAUUAUAUUUUAACUUUCUUUCAAACUUUUCCUUUGCAUUGAUUGGGAAGUAAUACCUUGUCUCUUCCAAACGGAGAGAGCUAAUCAUCCAUCUGUCUUUGUUUUGUAAUUCAAUUAAUGAUUGAUUUAUCUUUCUCCCUUUUUCUUUCUUUCAUUCUGCGAUGACGCUACACUACACUAUAGCGGAUCGUUUUGAUGGAAAUUUUCGUGUAUACGUAGAUUGUAAUGAGUCUACGGAGUCUAGUCGACUAAAUUAAUUAGAAAGCUGUGUUUUGCUUUGUGACGGUAGCUUUUAAGUGAUAUUGAUUAUUCAUCAUAACAGAAACCGAAUGUUGCUAUGGUAUCACUUGAACGGUAUGAGUUCAGAUUGCACUCUAAUAAAAAAGGGGAGACUUUGCUAAGUAUGUUUAGAUAGAUGAUACACAUUUGAUGCCAUAGCUGGUAAGGUGGAUUAUCCCUAUUUAGAAUGAAGGUUCAAAAUCCAUUUUUUAUAAUGAACGGUUAUAUCCAGCUAUUGAGUAGCAUCGAUUUUGUUCGUUGAAAAAAAUACAUAUCAAUUUUUGGUAUUUUGGUGCUUGAUUAUUUUUUUAUUAGCUGAAUUUUUUGUUAUUUGGAAUUUAUUGUUUUCUGUUUGCUUUACUUGCCUGCUAAAGUUCAUUCACAGCAGCCGGUUGUGAAGUAAAUUGGAAAAGAAACUGAAAAGAAUUUCAUUGCUUUUUUAUUUAUGAUGUAUGCAAUGCACUCGAUUUGUAAGCAAUUCUGUGUUUGUAUUCUUUGUUUGGCUGAAGCUCUAGUUAAGCCAUAUUGUUGGGCCUAAGUAAAUUAAAUUUUCAAAAAAAAAUUAAUA
rnacentral:lncRNA from 1 species